rnacentral:rRNA from 1 species
UGGGGAAUAUUGCACAAUGGGGGAAACCCUGAUGCAGCCAUGCCGCGUGUGUGAAGAAGGCCUUCGGGUUGUAAAGCACUUUCAGCGAGGAGGAAAGGUUGGCGCCUAAUACGUGUCAACUGUGACGUUACUCGCAGAAGAAGCACCGGCUAACUCCGUGCCAGCAGCCGCGGUAAUACGGAGGGUGCAAGCGUUAAUCGGAAUUACUGGGCGUAAAGCGCACGCAGGCGGUUGGAUAAGUUAGAUGUGAAAGCCCCGGGCUCAACCUGGGAAUUGCAUUUAAAACUGUCCAGCUAGAGUCUUGUAGAGGGGGGUAGAAUUCCAGGUGUAGCGGUGAAAUGCGUAGAGAUCUGGAGGAAUACCGGUGGCGAAGGCGGCCCCCUGGACAAAGACUGACGCUCAGGUGCGAAAGCGUGGGGAGCAAACAGG